CUACCGGGUUUCCCCUAUUCACUGCGAGUGAAGCGGGAAAAGCUCAAAUUUUAAAUCUGGCGGUCUUCUGGCCGUCCGAGUUGUAGUCUGGAGAAGUGUUAUCCGCGUCGGACCGUGUACUCGUCUCCUGGAAUGGAGCGUCAUACAUGGUGAAAAUCCCCUCCAUGGCACGCACGCCCGAUGCUUUGUGAAGCUCUCUCCUAUAGUGGAGUUGGAUGGGAAUGCAUUUCAAAAUGGGUGGUAAAUUCCAUCUAAAGCUAAAUAUUGGCGAGAGACCUAUAGCGAAUGGUACCGUGAGGGAAAGAUGAAAAGCACUUUGGAAAGAGAGAUAAACACCACUCGAAAUUGUUUAAAGGGAAACACUUGAAGUCAGUCGCGUCCCCCCCAACUCCUCCUGGCUUCGGUCUGGUGUAUUUUCUAUGUGGACGGGUCUGCUAUCCUUUGGGAAACUGGAAAAAGGAACAGGGAAUGUAACGGCUCUUCUAUGGCGUGUUAUCUCCCUUUGUCAAAUACAAUGGAUGGGACUGAGGACCGCGCUACGACCCUGUGGCCGAGUUUUCUCUGGCUUCGCCCUGCUCAGGAUGUUGGCAUAAUGGCUUUAAGCGACCCAUACUUGCUCUACCGACAGCACCAGUCAGACAUGCUUGCGAGUGUUC
rnacentral:rRNA from 1 species